AAGCCUGGGAAACUGGGUCUAAUACCGGAUAGGACCAUGCUUUAGCGUGUGUGGUGGAAAGUUUUUCGGUGUAGGAUGAGCCCGCGGCCUAUCAGCUUGUUGGUGGGGUAAUGGCCUACCAAGGCGGCGACGGGUAGCCGGACUGAGAGGUUGGUCGGCCACAUUGGGACUGAGAUACGGCCCAG
rnacentral:rRNA from 1 species